GGGCCUGUAGCUCAGUUUGGUAGAGCACUUCAUUCGCAUUGAAGGGGUCAGGGGUUCGACUCCCCUCAGGUCCA
rnacentral:tRNA from 1 species